rnacentral:rRNA from 1 species
UACAGAGGGUGCGAGCGUUGUUCGGAAUUAUUGGGCGUAAAGCGAGUGUAGGCGGGAUCGUAUGUCGGGCGUGAAAGCCCUCGGCUCAACCGAGGAAGUGCGCACGAAACUGCGGUUCUUGAGUGUCGGAGAGGGUGACGGAAUUCCCGGUGUAGAGGUGAAAUUCGUAGAUAUCGGGAGGAACACCAGUGGCGAAGGCGGUCACCUGGACGAACACUGACGCUGAGACUCGAAAGCGUGGGUAGCAAACAGGAUUAGA